AUUGAACGCUGGCGGCAUGCCUUACACAUGCAAGUCGAACGGUAACAGGCCGCAAGGUGCUGACGAGUGGCGAACGGGUGAGUAAUGCAUCGGACCGUGCCCAGUCGUGGGGGAUAACUACUCGAACGAGUAGCUAAUACCGCAUACGAACUAUGGAUGAAAGCGGGGGACCGUCAUGCCUCGCGCGAUUGGUGCGGUCGAUGUCAGAUUAGGUAGUUGGUGGGGUAAAGGAUCACCAAGCCAACGAUCUGUAGCUGGUCUGAGAGGACGACCAGCCACACUGGGACUGAGACACGGCCCAGACUCCUACGGGAGGCAGCAGUGGGGAAUUUUGGACAAUGGGCGAAAGCCUGAUCCAGCAAUGCCGCGUGCAGGAAGAAGGCCUUCGGGUUGUAAACUGCUUUUGUACGGAAAGAAACGGUUCUGGUUAAUACGGGGGGCUAAUGACGGUACCGUAAGAAUAAGCACCGGCUAACUACGUG
rnacentral:rRNA from 1 species